UACGGCCAGAUCAUGCUAAAAACACCGGUUCUUGUUCGAUCCCGAAGUUAAGCAGCAUCGAAUCCGGUCAGUACUUAGAUGGGAGACUACUUGGGAAC